rnacentral:rRNA from 1 species
UACGGGGGGAGCAAGCGUUGUUCGGAUUUACUGGGCGUAAAGGGCGCGUAGGCGGCGCGACAAGUCACUUGUGAAAUCUCUGGGCUCAACCCAGAACGGUCAAGUGAUACUGUCGUGCUAGAGUGCGGAAGGGGCAACUGGAAUUCUUGGUGUAGCGGUGAAAUGCGUAGAUAUCAGGAGGAACACCGAUGGCGAAGGCAGGUCUCUGGGCAUUAACUGACGCUGAGGAGCGAAAGCAUGGGGAGCGAACAGG